rnacentral:rRNA from 1 species
UACGGGGGGGGCGAGCGUUGUUCGGAAUUAUUGGGCGUAAAGGGUGCGUAGGCGGCCUGACAAGUCUGAUGUGAAAUCCCUGGGCUCAACCCAGGGCCUGCAUCGGAAACUGUCGGGCUUGAGUAUGGGAGAGGUGAGUGGAAUUUCCGGUGUAGCGGUGAAAUGCGUAGAUAUCGGAAGGAACACCUGUGGCGAAAGCGGCUCACUGGACCAUUACUGACGCUGAGGCACGAAAGCUAGGGAAGCAAACAGG